CUGUAUCGAGUUGGAGAGUCGAGUGAGGACCAGUCGAGGUUUCGGUCUGCGGCUCUGUCAUUACAUCAAAAAUGAAAAUUACAAGAUAAAAACAUAAAUGAAAUUACGAAAACUCUAUCUAUGCAGCUUUCCUUAACGCUUGACUUGCUAAUUCAUCACCCUAUUCUUUAGGCAGGCUCAUGACUUGCUAUUUCUUCACCCUGUUCUUCAGGCGGGCUCUUGACUUGCAAUUUAAUCACUUGUUGCUUGGUUUUUAAUUUCUUCACCGUGUUCUUCAGGCGGGUUCCUGGCUUGCUAAUUUUCAAUCUAUUAACUUUCAACUUUUCACCUUGUUGCUUUGUUUUCAACUCCUUCACUUUGUUGAUUAACUUUCAACUUCUUUACCAUAUUGCCUGAUAUUUUAUUUAUUCGCCCUAUUCUUCAGGCAAGCUCCUGAAAUCACAUCAAAACUAAAAAGAAAAUUAUCCCAAAUAAAGAUUAUUAUAAAGAGAUUUCCUUUUCCAGAAAAGAGAAGUUCCAAACACAAGAACUAAAUUUUGCCACAGUUUAUCAUCAAAGGACUUUUGUGAAAGUCACAU
rnacentral:lncRNA from 1 species